rnacentral:rRNA from 1 species
CACCGCGGUUAUACGAGGGGCCCAAGCUGAUAGCCAUCGGCAUAAAGAGUGGUUAGGGAUAAAACAGACUAAAGCCGAACGCCCUCAAAGCUGUUAUACGCACUCGAAGGCACGAAGCCCCCCUACGAAAGUGGCUUUAAACCCCUCCUGACCCCACGAAAGCUGCGCAA